GGUUAAGCGACUAAGCGUACACGGUGGAUGCCCUGGCAGUCAGAGGCGAUGAAGGACGUGCUAAUCUGCGAAAAGCGUCGGUAAGGUGAUAUGAACCGUUAUAGCCGGCGAUGUCCGAAUGGGGAAACCAGUGCAAUUCGUUGCACUAUCGUUAACUGAAUACAUAGGUUAACGAGGCGAACCGGGGGA
rnacentral:rRNA from 1 species